rnacentral:rRNA from 1 species
GCCCAGACUCCUACGGGAGGCAGCAGUGGGGAAUAUUGGGCAAUGGACGCAAGUCUGACCCAGCAACGCCGCGUGAAGGAAGAAGGCUUUCGGGUUGUAAACUUCUUUUAAGAGGGAAGAGCAGAAGACGGUACCUCUUGAAUAAGCCACGGCUAACUACGUGCCAGCAGCCGCGGUAAUACGUAGGUGGCAGGCGUUGUCCGGAUUUACUGGGUGUAAAGGGCGUGUAGCCGGGCUGACAAGUCAGAUGUGAAAUUCCGGGGCCCAACCCCGGACCUGCAUUUGAAACUGUUGGUCUUGAGUAUCGGAGAGGCAGGCGGAAUUCCUAGUGUAGCGGUGAAAUGCGUAGAUAUUAGGAGGAACACCAGUGGCGAAGGCGGCCUGCUGGACGACAACUGACGGUGAGGCGCGAAAGCGUGGGGAGCAAACAGGAUUAGAUACCCGCGUA